rnacentral:rRNA from 1 species
AACGAACGCUGGCGGCAUGCCUAACACAUGCAAGUCGAACGAACCCUUCGGGGUUAGUGGCGCACGGGUGCGUAACGCGUGGGAAUCUGCCCUUUGGUUCGGAAUAACUCAGGGAAACUUGAGCUAAUACCGGAUGAUGACUUCGGUCCAAAGAUUUAUCGCCAAAGGAUGAGCCCGCGUAGGAUUAGCUAGUUGGUGGGUAAUGGCCCACCAAGGCGACGAUCCUUAGCUGGUCUGAGAGGAUGAUCAGCCACACUGGGACUGAGACACGGCCCAGACUCUACGGGAGGCAGCAGUGGGAAUAUUGGACAAUGGGCGAAAGCCUGAUCCAGCAAUGCCGCGUGAGUGAUGAAGGCCUUAGGGUUG